CGCCGAAAAGCAAAAGAAAACCCAAAUAUGUUAAAUUGAAUGUGUUCCCCAACAACAAAAACCCUAACACGCGUUGGCACCACCAUCAAAUCCAAAAAUGACGAUCUGUGCUCUGCUCCGGCAACGUUCUGCACCAGCGACUGCUCCGGCAACGAUCUGCUCCAGCGAAUGCUCCGGCGACGAUUUUCUCGGCGUUCUCCUCCGACGAGAUUGUGUGUUGUGAACUGAAACGCUGUCUCUAGUGACGAUCUGCUCAGGCGGCGCGUUCUCCUCCUUCAGCGAGCUUCUAUGAUUUGGAUUUGAUAUGAAGAUUGCCGCUCAUCUCAUCGCCGUCAUUCAUCUCUGCGCCAUCGCAAGCAACACCGUUUUCAAUCUGGUUCAUCUCCUCGACGUGGUAAGCAACGCCGUUGUUGCUGCCUUCAGCAAGCUUCUACAGUUUGGUUUCGCGAUCUCUAUCACUUCUAAUAGGAUUGGAGACUUUUGCCCCUCAGAAAUUCUAAAGAUUCUGGUCCCUAGGAUUGAAACCAUGACAGAGCAACAAAGGUGUGCCAGGUGUGGAGUACAUCACUUCUGAUAGGAUCUUUGAAGAUCUGCCUGACGAGGAGAAGAAGCUUUGGCACUCUUAUACUUAUGAGGUCAAGUUGGGUCUAUUAAUAAGCCCAAGAGUUCUAGAGAUAAUUGCCAUGCCUGAGCUUGAAAACCUUGCUAAAUCCUGUGGAAAAUUCUGGUGUACUUGGCAGGCCGACAGAGGUUAACAAUCUUUGUGUUAUUAUAUUGUAGGAGUUUAAUUAAGCUUAGUUUUGUGUGUUAUUAUUGGUGCAGGAGAUAGGAUUCCACUGGGUGCACCAGCACUAAUGAUAUCACCACAACCACAAGGGGUGAAGCCUAGGCUGGUGAGGCCAGAUCUGGUGCAUCAGAGGGAUGCAAAGUAUCAUGUUUCCUCAGACAGCUAUAAGACCUUAAUUUAGCAAGGUAGACAAGUGUUGAAGGAAAGGACUUUUAAGCAUCUACUAUAUAUAGGAUCGAUGGAGGGUAUUUAGAUCUAUCUAUGGCAUUAUUACAGGUUUAUUGGUUAUUGUGAUUCUAGAUCAUUAUCUUCCUAAGAGUCUCUAGCAGAGAUCAAUUUACAUUUGACAAAGGCACAGAAUACUGGAGAUACCCUUUAUUGUUAAAUAUGGACUAUGCAACAUUUAAUUAAUUAAUUUAUUUCAGGGAUUGGAUCAAGAGAGUGAGAUUCCAUCACCAAGAGAGUUAGGAAGUAGGUCUUCUGGAGCGAGCAACAAAGAAGCAUGAUCUUGUAUGAUAAAGAUUUUAUGUAUUAAGUAUUAUAGAUAUAUGUUAAGACAAAUUAUUGAAAAAUGUUAUCUUUGAUACUUUGUUUUUGGAUUAUGAUUUUUUAUUUUCGGAGAUUGUGUAUGAAUUAAAAAUUUUGUUAUGAUG